GACUGGAGCUUGGAGGUGUGUUGUGAGAGCUGAAAGACCAGAGAACUGAAGUGCAGCAUCUAUCAUUAUUUGUCAUCAGAGUGCUUGUAUCUGGCAGUGGUGGAUAAGAGUACAGAAACUAUGGACUAACAGACUUUGGAAAUGUGACUUGCAUCAAGAGGGUGCACAGAGAAUCUUGCUGAGAGGCUAAACCUCACAUGGAAGGAGGACUACUUGUGCGAUGAAAGACUGCUUAUGUGUAUAAAUCCCCAAUGACUGAAGGAUAGCCCUGGAGUCUUUGGAUGUGUGAAGGGAUGUGUCUGUCUUUUCUGCAAAUAAUUUGGAGCCUUUGAAGAGAAGGUUCUCCAUGGUUGUCUGCAUCAAGCGCCGAUUGAAGUGCCGUCUUGGGCUCCAGUUGUCCUUCAUUAAUAAUGGCCCUAAACUGAGCCUUAUGUGAUUCCAGAAGCUGAUCAAUAAACAAAUUGA